CAGGACUCCAGGAUCAUGACUCAAGCGGAAGGCAGAAGCUUAACCAACUGAUCUACCCAGGCGUCUCAAUUAAGGAGCAUUUUAAAAAUCACUGGAAUCAUCUGUUCUUUAAAGGGCACGAUGUUUGAUGCAUAUCAAUAACACCUACCUUUUGGAUUGUGUUGUUUAGACUUCUAGAUCAUCAUUUAAUUUUGGCCACUGGAUCUGUUUUGGAUUGGAAAAGGACUCCUCAAGAAAUGACAGUCCCUUGGUGCUGCAUUUAAUUGGAGACGUGCUCAGAGACGGUCGAGAAUAAUUAUGACUCCUGAAAUGUCAAGCUCUUCAAAAGUCUGCCAUUGCCCUCCCUGCCACCCUGAACAGCUCUGGGAGCCCAAACCAUGCAGCCCCCCAGAGCAUACCUGGGAAAUCUGAGUGACAUUGACAUGCAGGCAGCAGGAAGACGCACAGUGAACCGAGGAGCCUGUGCUGAGCUCAGAAGAGGUCCAUCUCCAGACCCUUCUCAGACUCUGGACCGUUCCACGCCACAGGCUCCCAAGACUGCUUGUUUUACCAUCCUGCAUAUGCUUAAGGACUUGUCUUCCUCAAUGGGCCAAAAUCCCUUGAAGAUCUCUGGAGGGGGGGGUGUCCGUGGACUCCAUGUCAAGAACCCCUGGCUGGGCGCCUGGGUGGCUCAGAUGG